CUUGGUCACGGCCCAUUUUGCCCGUCAGUCUCCGGCGCUGAGUCUUAGUGGUUCGCCUCGUGCUGGGUUUCUGGAUUUUCUUAAACGGACCUUGCCCACGUUGGGGUCGCUUUCCUUUCUUCUUUUUCCGGCUGUGCAUGUGCAGCGUAGCAGUAAGAGAAGAGAUCUUUUCAGAUAGGAAGGGGUUUCUGGACUUCUUGGGCAUUGUUCUUGCAGGCUUGUUCACCACCUCUUCCCCCUUCUCUUCUUCUGAACCAUCACUUUUUCCCUCGGAGGUGGUCAAUCCCAGUUGGCGUGCACCUGAGAGGUCCAGGUCACUGAUGGUUGUGACUGUUACAAUAUGGUUUGGGUGGUCAAUGUUCACUGACUCUGUCUGCGAUGUCACCAAGUGCUCCAGUUCAUCAAACUCAUCAAGAGCUUCCUCCCUUUCGCGCAGCAUCUUCAUGUACUCCUUGUGCCUCUCCUCUUUCAUCUUCCUCUGCUCCUCCUUCAGCUUCCUCUUGAUCUCCUCCAGGGCCACCUUCCUCCGCUCCACCUUCCGUUUAUGGAAGCCAGUCAGGUACUCCCUCCGCCUCUCCUCAUCAAAAGUCACCACCAGCCGCGAUGCGGCACUCCCAGGCCCCUUCUUCUUGCGGCCCAUGGCUAACCCACGCUGCCGCCACCCCCACUUCCGG
rnacentral:lncRNA from 1 species